rnacentral:rRNA from 1 species
UACGUAGGGUGCAAGCGUUAAUCGGAAUUACUGGGCGUAAAGCGUGCGCAGGCGGUUAUAUAAGACAGUUGUGAAAUCCCCCGGGCUCAACCUGGGAACUGCAUCUGUGACUGUAUAGCUAGAGUACGGUAGAGGGGGGAUGGAAUUCCGCGUGUAGCAGUGAAAUGCGUAGAUAUGCGGAGGAACACCGAUGGCGAAGGCAAUCCCCUGGACCUGUACUGACGCUCAUGCACGAAAGCGUGGGGAGCAA